AUCAAUGGACUGCUAGGCACAUGGCGGUUAUAAUCACUCAGUGCUCUAAAAAGUUUCGCGCCAGGGUGAGAUUGUAACUUAUCAACUUAUGAUGAAAUUACUCUGCUAUAUAUCUCGUUUUACUAAGAUUUACUGGUGUGAGAAAAUUCUAAGGAUAUUUUUAUAAACUUUAUUUUCCUUCCGGUUUGUAUCUUGGCAACAUCAUUUCACUUUCGGUUUCCUUUCUUGGAAUAUAUUAAUGGCGACCUUUAUGAAUGACACUUUUGCAGUUAAUGAGGGUACUGUGUGUUCAAUUUGUCACGACAAUUUCAAAACACCGCGGUAUCUACCAUGUAAACAUUCAUUUUGCCACGAUUGUUUAUAUUCUUACAUUAACAGUCACUGUCAAAGUACGGAGUCGCGUUUGGGCUUUCAUUGCCCACUUUGCCGGGAUUACAUUCCAAACAUCUGUGUAAAUGACGAUCUUGAAGAAUGGGUCAGAUCUUUUCCUGAAAAUCGAAUCUUAGAAAAAUGUGUCAGCAGUUUGGGAAAUAAAUUCUGCGAAGCUUGUUUACGUGAUAGUGAGGAAGAGGAAGCGACGCAUUUUUGUAUACAUUGCAACGAGAAACUUUGCGCCGUCUGCACAAAAUGUCACAAAAAGGGACUUACAACACGUAAACAUGAAAUAAUGUCUCUGGGCGAGACAUCUAGGAUGGACGUCCUUCCUUUCCAUAGUAAAGAGGAAGUAUGUACAAAACAUCAGGAGAGACCAAUUGAGUUAUUCUGCCAAGAUCACGAGGAGCCAUGCUGCACGAUGUGUGUAAGUACCAAACACAGGAAAUGUGAAACUGUUGAACCAAUAGAAAAAACAGCAACAAAGCUCAAGCAAUACUUUGAGGGGAAAGAAUUUGAUUUGCUCUUGGAGCGUGUUGAAAUUCUGGAAGAUAAGCUAAUGAGGACGAAAACUGAACAAGAAAUGUGUGUAAGGCAAAUGGAAAACACAUCAGACCGAAUUUCAGAAGAAACUGAAAGGAGUUUUAAAGAAGUUAUUCACCAUUUACAAAGUCUGAAAAAUCAGUUCCUUACAAACAUGAGUAAAGGUGUCAAGAAAAGAAAAGAAAGUUAUGAGAAAAAUAUAAAUUCGUUGUUGGAUGGAAUCCACUGCGCUCAGUUCAUUAAAAACAAACUGGAGAAAUCCACGGGGAGUAAAAGUGCAGUCGAGCUUACAGUUGUAUAUUUUAGUGGGAAGAAAUGCUUUGACCGAUUAAAAAAGUAUGAUUUCCAACAGUUGCAGACUAUAAUGGAAGAGAAAAAACCAGACAUUUUUAAAGACAUCAUGGACUUGACAGGUGUUACUGACGUUAAGUUUUUGGAGAAGACAAAUAGCGUAAACACCGAUAUGAAAAAAUUACAAUUGUGUUUGAUAAGCGAACUUUCCAUGAAACAAAAAUUUAUUCGGGACGGAACGAUUCUAUCAUCCGGUGAAUUCAUUCUCUCAACCAGAGACACCAAUCGUUAUGGGAAGGACAAUGAUGAAUGUUUCAUCCUUAACAAUUGUGGGGAAAUUACAAAAAGAAUAAAAUCCAUAUCCAAGCCUUUUGGAAUAACUGAAAACGAGAAUGACAUGUAUGCUCUGGUUCAAAGUGUCUGCAUUUUUUUGAAAACAAAAGUCUUAAUUUUAAAAAAAGUGAGAAACUCAUAAACGAACCAUAUUGUAUUGCAUACCUUUCCCCUUAUAUGUUUGUGGCGUAUGGUGACAAAAUCAGCAGGAUAACCAAGUCUGGUUCACGUGUUUUCUGCAGAACCAUCAACAUACAACCUUCAGUAAAGCACAUCAUUAGCACAUCAUCACACAUCGUCUACAGCAAUCGUAAGACCAAUGAAGUGGUCGCCAUUAACAGUCACGGUACAUGUACAACCGUGUGGAGAUACAGCAGUCCCGGUCUUCUCUCUCCAUGUGGAUUGAGUGUGGAUGGAGAUGACAACAUCUAUGUAGCGGGAAAAGAGAGCGAUAACGUCCACGUGUUGACCAAGGACGGACGGUGUGUCCAUGUGUUUGAGAAUAUCACCAGACCAGACUUCAUGAAGGUGGACAAAGAGAGAAAGCUGUGUUUUGUGGGCAGCAUGAGGAAGUAUGUCAGGGUGUAUGAGAUGCUGUAGAUAUGUGGAUAAAAUUGAAAAUUUCAUAAAGAAUUGUGGUGUUUGUGAUGUUGUAAGGAUAUUACAAUUACAUUGGUUACGUGCAUGCAGGACAUUUGUUAUGUGGAGUACUGAGAUAAUAAUUUGUGUUUAAAGCUGUAUUAGCGUUUGUAUUUAUUACGCUUUAGCAUUGCCAUGAAUAUAUUAUAUGCUGUU
rnacentral:misc_RNA from 1 species